rnacentral:rRNA from 1 species
UACAGAGACUGCAAGCGUUCUUCGGAUUCACUGGGCGUAAAGGGCGCGCAGGCGGCCAAGUGUGUGAGGCGUGAAAGCCCGGGGCUUAACCCCGGAAUUGCACCUCAAACUACAUGGCUAGAGCAUUGGAGAGGGUAGCAGAAUUCAUGGUGUAGCAGUGAAAUGCGUAGAUAUCAUGAGGAAUACCAGAGGCGAAGGCGGCUACCUGGACAAUUGCUGACGCUCAGGCACGAAAGCGUGGGGAGCAAAAGGG